AGGACGGGUGAGUAAUGCUUAGGAAUCUGCCUAUUAGUGGGGGACAACAUUCCGAAAGGAAUGCUAAUACCGCAUACGCCCUACGGGGGAAAGCAGGGGAUCUUCGGACCUUGCGCUAAUAGAUGAGCCUAAGUCAGAUUAGCUAGUUGGUGGGGUAAAGGCCUACCAAGGCGACGAUCUGUAGCGGGUCUGAGAGGAUGAUCCGCCACACUGGGACUGAGACACGGCCCAGACUCCUACGGGAGGCAGCAGUGGGGAAUAUUGGACAAUGGGCGAAAGCCUGAUCCAGCCAUGCCGCGUGUGUGAAGAAGGCCUUUUGGUUGUAAAGCACUUUAAGCGAGGAGGAGGCUACUUGGAUUAAUACUCUAGGAUAGUGGACGUUACUCGCAGAAUAAGCACCGGCUAACUCUGUGCCAGCAGCCGCGGUAAUACAGAGGGUGCGAGCGUUAAUCGGAUUUACUGGGCGUAAAGCGUGCGUAGGCGGCUUCUUAAGUCGGAUGUGAAAUCCCUGAGCUUAACUUAGGAAUUGCAUUCGAUACUGGGAAGCUAGAGUAUGGGAGAGGAUGGUAGAAUUCCAGGUGUAGCGGUGAAAUGCGUAGAGAUCUGGAGGAAUACCGAUGGCGAAGGCAGCCAUCUGGCCUAAUACUGACGCUGAGGUACGAAAGCAUGGGGAGCAAACAGGAUUAGAUACCCUGGUAGUCCAUGCCGUAAACGAUGUCUACUAGCCGUUGGGGCCUUUGAGGCUUUAGUGGCGCAGCUAACGCGAUAAGUAGACCGCCUGGGGAGUACG
rnacentral:rRNA from 1 species